CCUACGGGGGGCUGCAGCAACGAAUCUUCCCCAAUGCCGGAAACGGUGAGGGAGCGACGCCGCGUGAGGACGAAGUUCUUCGGAAUGUAAACUUCUGUAAGGAUCGCAAAUAUAGUCUAAAAGGGGCGGCUAACUCUGUGCCAGCAGCCGCGGUAAUACAGAGGCCCCAAGCGUUACUGAGAAUCACUGGGUUUAAAGGGUGCGUAGGUGGCGCGUUAAGUCUGUUGUGAAAUCCCUGGGCUCAACCCAGGAAAUGCUUCGGAUACUGGCGUGCUUGAGGCUAGUAGAGGUCACUGGAACUGACGGUGGAGCGGUGAAAUGCGUAGAUAUCGUCAGGAACGCCGGUGGUGAAGACGGGUGACUGGCUGUUCUGACACUGAGGCACGAAAGCGUGGGGAGCGAACGGGAUUAGAUACCCUUGUAGUC
rnacentral:rRNA from 1 species